GGACAUUGGCUCCAUGACGUCCCACAACCCCCCACCACCCUCUGCGGGAGCGCCUCUAUCCCUUUCACCCUGUCAUGUGUGUUUGGCUGCCGGUCUUUGGACUAUUGGUGCUUUUUAUCUCAACUAGCUCUCUGAUUAUCUGAACUGGUCUAAAAGUGAGAGUCCAGUCCAAGAGGGGCAGAUAAAGCAGCUCCAUCCGGGUGACAGUUGGAAGGUCGUCAGAUAAACAACCAUCACUGAUCAGCAGGUGCAAGGAGCAAGGGGCUCACUUUACUGUGAGAGGAGCAGAAACAUGAAAGUCCGAAGAGAAGAAAGGCAACUAUCAACGCACCCCCACCCUGCUUUUGUCCUGCAACCCGGCAGACCUCACCCCCUCUCUGGGCAGCAGGUUGUCAGUGAUGGGGUCCAGCUGGAGGAGACUGGUGAUGCCAAACAACCUGUCAGAGAUAAGAGGAGGCGGACAAGUGUGAGGCUGCGACACUGAUGAGACCCAGCCCCUGCCUACCUUUCCUCUUGGUGCAGUGGUAGACCUGCGACUGUUGGCCAUGCUGCAGGUGUGGGUGAGGCAGGAUGUAAUGUGCUGUGGGGGAAUUCAGCAGCUCCUGGGGACUACUGCUGUUCAAGCCAUUCUCACAGCUGUAGGGGGAUCCGACAGCUUCGGGUGAGGCCCGCAGACCCCGACCUUCCCCGCUGAAGGGACUCCCAGAGGCGCAGGCUUUCUGACGGACCGUACUGCGAGGGACCACAGGGUAGUCCUUACUGAAACAAAGAUGGUAGUGAGAAUUAAAACAGA